UACGUAGGGGGCAAGCGUUGUCCGGAUUUAUUGGGCGUAAAGAGCGUGUAGGCGGCCUGUCAGGUCUGCUGUGAAAACUCGAGGCUCAACCUCGAGAUGUCGGCGGAAACCGUCUGGCUAGAGUCCGGAAGAGGAGAGUGGAAUUCCUGGUGUAGCGGUGAAAUGCGCAGAUAUCAGGAGGAACACCGGUGGCGAAGGCGGGUCUCUGGGCCGUAACUGACGCUGAGGAGCGAAAGCGUGGGGAGCGAACAGG
rnacentral:rRNA from 1 species